rnacentral:rRNA from 1 species
UACGGGGGGUGCAAGCGUUGUCCGGAAUCAUUGGGCGUAAAGCGCGCGUAGGUGGCCUCAUAAGUCCGCUGUGAAAGUCAAAGGCUCAACCUUUGAAAGCCGGUGGAUACUGUGGGGCUAGAGUACGGAAGAGGCGAGUGGAAUUCCUGGUGUAGCGGUGGAAUGCGCAGAUAUCAGGAGGAACACCAAUAGCGAAGGCAGCUCGCUGGGACGUUACUGACACUGAGGCGCGAAAGCGUGGGGAGCGAACAGG